GGACUGGUGGAGCUGGCGUGUAGCAGAGUGGAGUGGUCGAGCUGGCGUGUAGGAUUGAAUCAUGUCCUGUAUGUAGGUGGGGGCUGUCCUGUUGGCUGAGGUGUAGGCCAGAGUCAGGACCUCGAACCUGAUCCUGGCGGUGACCAGUAGCCAGCGGAGUGACCUCAGCAGGGGAGCGACAUGCGAGAACUUGAAAAGGUUGAAGACAAGGCAGCGGCGUUCUGAAUCAGUUAUAGUGGCUUUAUGGCACAGGCUGGCAGGCUUGCAAAGAUUAUUAUUAAAUUAAGCUUCUAAAUGGGCUUUAGGACUAAAAGGGGUUUCAUUUUUAGUUUUGUAUCUGCCAGUGGCCUGCCUGCUUAGACAUAUUGAACUGUGUAUGAUUUAACAUGCAGUUGUGUUGAGUUGUAGCACCACACAUUUAAAAGAAAAGAUGGCAUCUUUUCAGUAUUAAUAAAUGGAAAAUAUUUCAUAGAAUAAAAAUAUUUAAUGGGAAAUAUUUAUGAUUUUAUUAAGAAUUUGCCUUUCCAUGUAGGCCUACUGACAUUUAUACUUCAAAAGGCCUACCGUGAAAAUAACUUCGGUUCAUUCUGUGCUUGAAUCUAAACAUAUGAUUUUGGCACCCUUGAGGAAUACGAGAACAUUAUUUACCGAUUAUUUCCUUGAUAAUAAACGGCUCGGUCGCCACGUGAAGCACUUGGCUCGAGAUGAAAAGACUGAGAAGAAGGAAGUGUAGCACGCGAGAAGGUGAUUUGAAGGAACUGAAGUACUGUGCUACUUAAACGCCCCAACAGAAAAGCCAGGAGAAUUCUGGAGAAGAGCGUGUGAGAGAGGAAACAUCAUUCAAACAAGCAACAGGACACUUGGUUUUUAGGAUUUUUUUUCUCUUUUCCUUGCCUUUCAUCCCAAAUCCCGGACAAACAUUCAAAUAUGCCAAUGCAGCCUCGGACGAUGUUGUCAGUGGAGAAUGGACUCCCCGCGUCUCCUUCACAAAGCGGCGCGACCCCAAGCGGGCAUCUUUCCGCGCCGCUUCCAGACCGAGGCUCGCCACCUGGUGAUGGCGAGGCGGCGGCGAAAACAUCAGAGAGCCCGGGAUUUACACAUCAAUCGAGCCGCGGGCCGGGCAGCCGGAGCGCUCCAGGAGACGCAGGCGCAGACGCAAGGAGGGCAUCCAAACCGCAGCCAUGUCACCGCGGAGGUCCUGGGCAGCGGGUAGAGUCGGUGCCCACUCUGAGCGCGGCCAUUGAAAGGCCGGGCAACGACGUAACCAAGGAAGAGGGACGGACUGGGGGUGAACAGGGCUGCAGCAAGACUUGUGGGAAACUUCUAUUGGCGGUGGCCUUGGUGCUGUUCUCUCCCGUCAUAGCUGUAGGGGUGUGCAUGCAUGAUCUGAUAGUGUGCAAUGAUCACGAGGAACUUUAUACGUAAACGUAUCAUCAUUAUUGCUGUUCUUGUUGUACUUAUAACGAAUUUUCAGGACAUGACAGAUCGUACUCCGUAUCAAGAACAUUUGGGAGUUUGCCUACAUUGCGUUGCUUCUUCCGAGAGCAGAAUCUAACACUAAACAUUUCCCCUGAAAACAAUGACCUAUACUGCCCUCUGGAGGCCACAUUAUCAAAUUACAUAAUGACAGCUGCGCAAUGCGGUAUAAUUUUACAAAUGCAACGUUUCAAAAUGUAAAAAUGAAGUUUUUUGUUAGCGACGAUGCACCUUAUACAUCAUUACGUAUUUCAGUAAUUUGUGCAAUUGUUCGAAAGAUACUUCCCAGUUAGGCCUACGCCUUUUGUCUUACAGAAUGUAAUUUGAUCUUGUACGUAUAAUAUAUUCAGUUAUCUUUUA